AAUAGAUACCCUGGUAGUCCACGCUGUAAACGAUGAUCACUAGACGUUACUUCUGUUCGUGCAGAAGUAGUGUCGUAGCUAACGCGAUAAGUGAUCCGCCUGGGAAGUACGGUCGCAAGAUUAAAACUUAAAGGAAUUGACGGGGGUCCGCACAAGCGGUGGAACAUGUGGUUUAAUUCGACACUACGCGAGGAACCUUACCUAGGCUUGACAUAUUUUUGACUGCCAUAGAAAUGUGGCUUUCUCUGGGUAACCAGAGACAAUUAUACAGGUGCUGCAUGGCUGUCGUCAGCUCGUGUCGUGAGAUGUUGGGUUAAGUCCUUUAACGAGCGCAACUCCUGCCAUUAGUUGCCACUCCGUGAGGAAGCACUCUAAUGGGACUGCCUGGGCAACCAGGAGGAAGGUGGGAAUGACGUCAAGUCCGCAUGGCCUUUAUGCCUAGGGCAACACACGUGUUACAAUGGCCGAUACAAAGGGUUGCCAACCCGGAGAGGGGGAGCUAAUCUCAUAAAGUCGGUCUAAGUUCGGAUUG
rnacentral:rRNA from 1 species